UACGGAGGGUGCAAGCGUUGCUCGGAAUUACUGGGCGUAAAGGGCUCGUAGGCGGCCAACUAAGUCAGACGUGAAAUCCCUCGGCUUAACCGGGGAACUGCGUCUGAUACUGGAUGGCUUGAAUCCGGGAGAGGGAUGCGGAAUUCCAGGUGUAGCGGUGAAAUGCGUAGAUAUCUGGAGGAACACCGGUGGCGAAGGCGGCCCACUGGAUCGGUACUGACGCUGAGGUGCGAAAGCGUGGGGAGCAAACAGG
rnacentral:rRNA from 1 species